rnacentral:rRNA from 1 species
AUUGAACGCUGGCGGCAGGCCUAACACAUGCAAGUCGAACGGUAACAGGAAGCAGCUUGCUGCUUCGCUGACGAGUGGCGGACGGGUGAGUAAUGUCUGGGAAACUGCCUGAUGGAGGGGGAUAACUACUGGAAACGGUAGCUAAUACCGCAUAACGCCGCAAGACCAAAGAGGGGGACCUUAGGGCCUCUUGCCAUCGGAUGUGCCCAGAUGGGAUUAGCUAGUAGGUGGGGUAACGGCUCACCUAGGCGACGAUCCCUAGCUGGUCUGAGAGGAUGACCAGCCACACUGGAACUGAGACACGGUCCAGACUCCUACGGGAGGCAGCAGUGGGGAAUAUUGCACAAUGGGCGCAAGCCUGAUGCAGCCAUGCCGCGUGUAUGAAGAAGGCCUUCGGGUUGUAAAGUACUUUCAGCGGGGAGGAAGGGAGUAAAGUUAAUACCUUGGCUAAUUGACGUUACCCGCAGAAGAAGCACCGGCUAACUCCGUG